AACGAACGCUGGCGGCAGGCUUAACACAUGCAAGUCGAACGGCAGCACAGCAGUAGCAAUACUGUGGGUGGCGAGUAGCGGACGGGUGAGGAAUACAUCGGAAUCUGCCUUAUCGUGGGGGAUAACGUAGGGAAACUUACGCUAAUACCGCAUACGACCUACGGGUGAAAGCGGAGGACCUUCGGGCUUCGCGCGAUAAGAUGAGCCGAUGUCGGAUUAGCUAGUUGGCGGGGGAAAGGCCCACCAAGGCGACGAUCCGUAGCUGGUCUGAGAGGAUGAUCAGCCACACUGGAACUGAGACACGGUCCAGACUCCUACGGGAGGCAGCAGUGGGGAAUAUUGGACAAUGGGCGCAAGCCUGAUCCAGCCAUGCCGCGUGGGUGAAGAAGGCCUUCGGGUUGUAAAGCCCUUUUGUCCGGAAAGAAAAGCAUCGGGCUAAUACCUCGGUGUUCUGACGGUACCGGAAGAAUAAGCACCGGCUAACUUCGUGCCAGCCGCCGCAGUAAUAC
rnacentral:rRNA from 1 species